rnacentral:rRNA from 1 species
UACGAAGGGGGCUAGCGUUGUUCGGAAUUACUGGGCGUAAAGGGCGCGUAGGCGGUGUGUCAAGUCAGGCGUGAAAGCCCCGGGCUCAACCUGGGAACCGCGCUUGAGACUGGCACGCUAGAGUUCGGGAGAGGAUGGUGGAAUUCCCAGUGUAGAGGUGAAAUUCGUAGAUAUUGGGAAGAACACCGAUGGCGAAGGCAGCCAUCUGGACCGACACUGACGCUGAGGUGCGAAAGCGUGGGGAGCAAACAGG